rnacentral:rRNA from 1 species
UUAAGCGACUAAGCGUACACGGUGGAUGCCCUGGCAGUCAGAGGCGAUGAAGGACGUGCUAAUCUGCGAUAAGCGUCGGUGAGGUGAUAUGAACCGUUAUAACCGGCGAUUUCCGAAUGGGGAAACCCAGUGUGUUUCGACACACUAUCAUUAACUGAAUCCAUAGGUUAAUGAGGCGAACCGGGGGAACUGAAACAUCUAAGUACCCCGAGGAAAAGAAAUCAACCGAGAUUCCCCCAGUAGCGGCGAGCGAACGGGGAGGAGCCCAGAGCCUGAAUCAGUGUGUGUGUUAGUGGAAGCGUCUGGAAAGGCGCGCGAUACAGGGUGACAGCCCCGUACACAAAAAUGCACAUAUUGUGAGCUCGAUGAGUAGGGCGGGACACGUGGUAUCCUGUCUGAAUAUGGGGGGACCAUCCUCCAAGGCUAAAUACUCCUGACUGACCGAUAGUGAACCAGUACCGUGAGGGAAAGGCGAAAAGAACCCCGGCGAGGGGAGUGAAAAAGAACCUGAAACCGUGUACGUACAAGCAGUGGGAGCCUCUUUAUGGGGUGACUGCGUACCUUUUGUAUAAUGGGUCAGCGACUUAUAUUCUGUAGCAAGGUUAACCGAAUAGGGGAGCCGAAGGGAAACCGAGUCUUAACUGGGCGUUAAGUUGCAGGGUAUAGACCCGAAACCCGGUGAUCUAGCCAUGGGCAGGUUGAAGGUUGGGUAACACUAACUGGAGGACCGAACCGACUAAUGUUGAAAAAUUAGCGGAUGACUUGUGGCUGGGGGUGAAAGGCCAAUCAAACCGGGAGAUAGCUGGUUCUCCCCGAAAGCUAUUUAGGUAGCGCCUCGUGAAUUCAUCUCCGGGGGUAGAGCACUGUUUCGGCAAGGGGGUCAUCCCGACUUACCAACCCGAUGCAAACUGCGAAUACCGGAGAAUGUUAUCACGGGAGACACACGGCGGGUGCUAACGUCCGUCGUGAAGAGGGAAACAACCCAGACCGCCAGCUAAGGUCCCAAAGUCAUGGUUAAGUGGGAAACGAUGUGGGAAGGCCCAGACAGCCAGGAUGUUGGCUUAGAAGCAGCCAUCAUUUAAAGAAAGCGUAAUAGCUCACUGGUCGAGUCGGCCUGCGCGGAAGAUGUAACGGGGCUAAACCAUGCACCGAAGCUGCGGCAGCGACACUAUGUGUUGUUGGGUAGGGGAGCGUUCUGUAAGCCUGUGAAGGUGGCCUGUGAGGGUUGCUGGAGGUAUCAGAAGUGCGAAUGCUGACAUAAGUAACGAUAAAGCGGGUGAAAAGCCCGCUCGCCGGAAGACCAAGGGUUCCUGUCCAACGUUAAUCGGGGCAGGGUGAGUCGACCCCUAAGGCGAGGCCGAAAGGCGUAGUCGAUGGGAAACAGGUUAAUAUUCCUGUACUUGGUGUUACUGCGAAGGGGGGACGGAGAAGGCUAUGUUGGCCGGGCGACGGUUGUCCCGGUUUAAGCGUGUAGGCUGGUUUUCCAGGCAAAUCCGGAAAACCAAGGCUGAGGCGUGAUGACGAGGCACUACGGUGCUGAAGCGACAAAUGCCCUGCUUCCAGGAAAAGCCUCUAAGCAUCAGGUAACAUCAAAUCGUACCCCAAACCGACACAGGUGGUCAGGUAGAGAAUACCAAGGCGCUUGAGAGAACUCGGGUGAAGGAACUAGGCAAAAUGGUGCCGUAACUUCGGGAGAAGGCACGCUGAUAUGUAGGUGAAGCGACUUGCUCGUGGAGCUGAAAUCAGUCGAAGAUACCAGCUGGCUGCAACUGUUUAUUAAAAACACAGCACUGUGCAAACACGAAAGUGGACGUAUACGGUGUGACGCCUGCCCGGUGCCGGAAGGUUAAUUGAUGGGGUUAGCGGUAACGCGAAGCUCUUGAUCGAAGCCCCGGUAAACGGCGGCCGUAACUAUAACGGUCCUAAGGUAGCGAAAUUCCUUGUCGGGUAAGUUCCGACCUG